GUAAAACAGAUAGGCAGAGAUGAGAAGUGUCGAAGUACAAAUACUUAAUCCUUAAGUAACCUACUGUACUUAAGCAGGAUUUUCAGACAGGUCUAGCUCAACGGUAAAGUAAGGAAGUGAGCAACGACAUGCUUCCAAGGUACAUGGCUGUGCUACUUUUCCUGGUGUUGGUAUCUGUUGCCAUCAACUUUGUGUGGAAUAACUCUACUGCACUCACCAGCGAUGGAUAUGAGGAAAUCAAAGGGGAUGUUCAGAGAUUCAUUGCAAAG